UACGUAGGGUGCGAGCGUUAAUCGGAAUUACUGGGCGUAAAGCGUGCGCAGGCGGUUUUGUAAGCCAGAUGUGAAAUCCCCGGGCUUAACCUGGGAAUGGCAUUUGGGACUGCAAGGCUGGAGUGCGGCAGAGGAGACUGGAAUUCCUGGUGUAGCAGUGAAAUGCGUAGAUAUCAGGAGGAAUACCGAUGGCGAAGGCAGGUCUCUGGGCUGACACUGACGCUCAUGCACGAAAGCGUGGGGAGCAAAAGGG
rnacentral:rRNA from 1 species